rnacentral:rRNA from 1 species
GAUGAACGCUGGCGGCGUGCCUAAUACAUGCAAGUCGAGCGAACAGACGAGGAGCUUGCUCCUCUGACGUUAGCGGCGGACGGGUGAGUAACACGUGGAUAACCUACCUAUAAGACUUGGAUAACUUCGGGAAACCGGAGCUAAUACCGGAUAAUAUAUUGAACCGCAUGGUUCAAUAGUGAAAGACGGUUUUGCUGUCACUUAUAGACGGAUUCGCGCUGCAUUAGCUAGUUGGUAAGGUAACGGCUUACCAAGGCAACGAUGCGUAGCCGACCUGAGAGGGUGAUCGGCCACACUGGAACUGAGACACGGUCCAGACUCCUACGGGAGGCAGCAGUAGGGAAUUUGCCGCAAUGGGCGAAAGCCUGACGGAGCAACGCCGCGUGAGUGAUGAAGGUCUUCGGAUCGGAAAACUCUGUGAUUAGGGAAGAACAAAUGUGGAAGUAACUAUGCACGUCUUGACGGUACCUAAUCAGAAAGCCACGGCUAACUACGUG